CAUCUUUUGUUUGCAGAUGACAGUCUGCUGUUUAUCAAGGCGAAUAGCGGGGGAGCUACCGAGGUCAAUGAGGUGUUGGAAACUUAUUGUCUAGCCACAGGGCAGCGUAUCAACACAGCCAAGUCCUCAAUUUUCUUCAGCAAAGCAGUGCCGGAAAGCACUCGUAUUGAGGUAAAGGGCCUGUUAAAUAUAACAAAUGAAACGUUGAAGGAGAAAUAUUUGGGUAUGCCAUCAUAUAUUGGAAACUCCAAAAAUAGUGCUUUUAAAUACCUUAAGGACCGUUUGUGGAGCAAGAUACAUGGCUGGAUUGAGAGGACAAUGUCUACUGCGGGUAAGGAAGUUUUGGUGAAAGCGGUUGCCCAAGCAGUGCCAGUGUAUUCAAUGUCAUGCUUCAAACUGCCUAGAGGUUUGUGUGAGCACCUAAACAUGUUGAUACGGAAAUUCUGGUGGGGGAGUAAAGAUGGACAUCACAAGCCACAUUGGGUCUCUUGGAAAGCUAUGACACAACCAAAA
rnacentral:rRNA from 1 species